rnacentral:rRNA from 1 species
CCAGACUCCUACGGGAGGCAGCAGUGGGGGAUAUUGCACAAUGGGGGGAACCCUGAUGCAGCGACGCCGCGUGGGUGAAGAAGUAUUUCGGUAUGUAAAGCCCUGUCGGCAGGGAAGAAAUUGGACGGUACCUGACUAAGAAGUCCUGGCUAACUACGUGCCAGCAGCCGCGGUAAUACGUAGGGAGCGAGCGUUGUCCGGAAUUACUGGGUGUAAAGGGAGCGUAGGCGGGGAUGCAAGUUGGGUGUUAAAUCUACCGGCUCAACUGGUAGUCGCACUCAAAACUGCAGCUCUUGAGUGAAGUAGAGGCAGGCGGAAUUCCUAGUGUAGCGGUGAAAUGCGUAGAUAUUAGGAGGAACACCAGUGGCGAAGGCGGCCUGCUGGACGACAACUGACGGUGAGGCGCGAAAGCGUGGGGAGCAAACAGGAUUAGAUACCCCAGUAA